rnacentral:rRNA from 1 species
GACGGGGGGUCCUAGCGUUGUUCGGAAUCAUUGGGCGUAAAGGGGGCGUAGGUGGCUAUGCAAGUCAGGAGUGAAAGCCCUGGGCUUAACCCAGGAAGUGCUUUUGAAACUGCAUAGCUUGAGUGUGAGAGAGGAUAGUGGAAUUCCAGGUGUAGUGGUGAAAUACGUAGAUAUCUGGAGGAACACCGGUGGCGAAGGCGGCUAUCUGGCUCAACACUGACACUGAGGCCCGAAAGCGUGGGGAUCAAACAGG